rnacentral:rRNA from 1 species
AAAUGAAUAGACGGGGGCCCGCACAAGCGGAGGAGCAUGUGGUUUAAUUCGAUGAUACGCGAGGAACCUUACCCGGGCUUAAAUGGAAGACGACCGAACAGGAAACUGUUCUUUCGUAAGACGUCUUUCAAGGUGCUGCAUGGUUGUCGUCAGCUCGUGCCGUGAGGUGUCGGGUUAAGUCCCAUAACGAGCGCAACCCACAUAUUUAGUUACCAGCAUUUCGGAUGGGGACUCUAAAUAGACUGCCUACGCAAGUAGAGAGGAAGGUGUGGAUGACGUCAAAUCAGCACGGCCCUUACGUCCGGGGCUACACACGUGCUACAAUGGUCAAGACAGAGGGCAGCAAGCAGGCGACUGUAAGCAAAUCUCAGAAACUUGAUCUCAGUCCGGAUCGGAGUCUGCAACCCGACUCCGUGAAGUUGGAUUCGCUAGUAAUCGCGCAUCAGCCAUGGCGCGGUGAAUACGUUCCCGGGCCUUGUACACACCGCCCGU